AUAUAUCAACCUCCUCAGCUUUUGCUUGUUGAGUGUUGGAUGUGGGGGCCUUUUUGCUGGUCUUUUCAAGAGAUCAGCUACCCUAAAAUAUAUUAGCGGAACAAUUUGUUGACCGUUCAUUGGUGUGAUAAUUAUCUACGCUAUUGACGUGAGGCAAGUUCAGCUUCUAACAGUCCAUUGACUUGGACAAAUUUUCAUUA
rnacentral:misc_RNA from 1 species